AGCAGCAGCCGCGGGAAAACAGAGGGUGCGAGCGUUAAUCGGAUUUACUGGGCGUAAAGCGCGCGUAGGUGGUUCAUUAAGUUGGAUGUGAAAGCCCUGGGCUCAACCUGGGAACUGCAUCCAAAACUGGUGAGCUAGAGUACGGUAGAGGGUAGUGGAAUUUCCUGUGUAGCGGUGAAAUGCGUAGAUAUAGGAAGGAACACCAGUGGCGAAGGCGACUACCUGGACUGAUACUGACACUGAGGUGCGAAAGCGUGGGGAGCAAACAGGAUUAGAUACCCGCGUAGUCCCUGUCUCUUAUAC
rnacentral:rRNA from 1 species